rnacentral:rRNA from 1 species
CAGUCGCCACGGUAAUACGUAGGGCGCAAGCGUUAUCCGGAAUUAUUGGGCGUAAAGAGCUCGUAGGCGGUUUGUCGCGUCUGCCGUGAAAGUCCGGGGCUCAACCCCGGAUCUGCGGUGGGUACGGGCAGACUAGAGUGAUGUAGGGGAGACUGGAAUUCCUGGUGUAGCGGUGAAAUGCGCAGAUAUCAGGAGGAACACCGAUGGCGAAGGCAGGUCUCUGGGCAUUAACUGACGCUGAGGAGCGAAAGCAUGGGGAGCGAACAGGAUUAGAUACCCCGGUAGUCCCUGUCUCUUAUAA